rnacentral:lncRNA from 1 species
UUUUCUCGAACAAGCAAAUUUAUGAAUUGGUCACGAACCUUGAUGCCUUUGAACACUUUUUAUUUGGGUAGUUCAUCGAAAAAACAAAGAGGAACAAGAAAGAGAAGAAAAGUGGUUGUUAGAGGGGUUUAAGGAGGAGAGAGGGAUGCUAAUCAAGGCAUGGACAUUGCAACCUUUGAUGUUUAGCCAACAUAGGAGGAUUUGUGACACACUACGGGUGGUUCACCAAAAAAAUAAAUCAGAAUAAGAUGAAGGGGAGAAAAAGUGGUUGCCAAAGGGGUUUGAAAAGAAGAUAGGGAAAGAGAAGAAAGGGAUGUUGAUCAAGGGACACUGCAAUCUUUGAUCUUAAGCCACCCUAGUGUGAGCAAUGUAGGUGGAACAUGGUGGUAAAGGCCUCAGUAGUGGCAUUCCAAUAUUGAUCAUGUUGGGAUUUAGUGAUCAAUGUUACAAUGAGAAGCUUAUAAAUGAAGGUGCACGAGUUUGGGUGGAGGUGGGUGUAGGAAGUGAUGGUGUGAAGGUUUCCGAUGGCAGUAAGAGUGACAAAGGUUAAGGUGACAACGAGUGGGAUGUGGUGGAGGUAGAGGAACAAGAUGAAGAGUUAGAGGUAGUGGUGCAUUUAGAGAAGAAAAGGGAGAAUAAAAUACCAAUUAUGUUAUAUGUUUUGCUCUAUUGUUAACCAAUUUGACAUCCUUAACAAAUAAGACCAAAUUGACUCUAUUUAAAACAUAUAAGGCCUCGAUAGAGUAAAAAAGUAUAUAGGAGAAAAAAG